rnacentral:tRNA from 1 species
GCUCCUGUGGCGAAAUUGGUAGCACGCGAAGGUCUUAAAAACCUUUGGACAGUAAUGUCCGUGUGGGUUCGAAUCCCAUCAGGAGUA